CGAGGUGGGUUCGAAUGUUCGUUAGAGAACACGUAGGUGAUACGUGCGGUUGCGCGCGCGCGUGUUCCUCAUCUCACACGUAAAAAAGUGCACUAACCGACGAUGUCUGGAGAGAUCGGCAAACGCGAAGAAAUCGAGAACCAGAGUGCGACCAGACGGAAAAGGGGGAAGCGAAAACGUUGGAGACACACUCUGGAGCGCAAAUACUCGUCAAAACAAGCGGCACGUUUUUCGUAUUUACACGCUUAAUUCGCGUUUUCCGCGUUGUGCAACGUUUCUCCAAAAGACGCAUCGAAGAGAGCCCCAGAGGCUACGAACGUGAGGAUGAUGAAACAGCUGGAUAAUAAAAAGCAGAAUGCAGACGAAAUUGCGACAGAAGAAGAUCUUGGAGCGAUAGAGACAACACAAUGAUGCAAGCGUACGUCGUAUGUAAUUCAUACUACGUGCUUUGUUUCUAAUGAUCGAGGAAUAAAAGUUGGUCGUCGAGUGUUAAUGCUUGAUUGUACAGUAAUAUGCUUCGAAUACGCACGCGAUAUGACGAAUUAAUGGUUCGUAAACGGAACUACGCAGCGAUUGAAGGGAGAAAACAAUCUCCGUCUACAUGAUCGAUUUCUACGGAAUCUAACUUCCUCCAAUUACUCACGGUAAUCGCCGUGGUCGAUCGUCGACAGUAAUCCCGUGAUCGCGUGAACGGCGACCGCCGCCACCUUGCCAGCUGAUAUCCUUCAAAUCCUUCUUUCUCUUCAACCGAUCCUCUCAAAAUAUACAAUUUCUCUAUCCAACCGUUGGGAUCCAAUUCGAAUCGCGUGAUAUCCGACAACUCCGUUCCCAAACUUGCGUUCUCCUCUUCGAAAUUCUUUCGUAUCAUCUUCUUCUCCGUGGCAGAGUAAACAGAACUUUCAAGUACUUGUUACGACAGAACAAAACAUAAAAAAAAAAAAGGGGGGAGAAACAGAGACAAGUAAAGGAGAAAGAAUACUCUCGAUGAAAUUCGUGUAUAUCGGGAUAAAUUGUGUCGUAUGUUGUUCGAGGCAGGUCUCCUCUCCACACCGCGAACGAUAUGAUCAAAGGAUCCAGACAGAGAGAGUGAAAGAGAAACAGAGAGAAAGAGAGAGAGAGACA